AGCUGGCUGCAGAUAGCCCCGAGUACCACACUUGUAUUCCCCUGGCCAGAAGCAAGCCAGCUGCAGCAGGGAAACCGUGUAGCCUUCUUGCAGAAGGCACAUUAAAUCAAAUGCAGCAUUUUGUUAACAUGACUGUACAGCUUCUGGACCAGAGGGGAGGAACUCGUUCAAAAAAAUUGAGGGGCUGAUCAGAGACUGAGGAGAAUUUCUCCCCUCUUCUUCUGAGGAUUCCAAAGAUUUUCUUGCCCUUGUCAAUCAAAUCCAUAGAUCAGAAGGAGAAGUCUGAAGCACAAACCUGUGACUUUCCCACCUUGUUCGUGAAGCAAAACAUCAAACUUCAAACUGCUCUGAAUGGAAGACAGAAAGAGCUGAUGGAUCAUGAUCUGAUGAUCUUCUGUUGACCACACAGAUAUAAUUUUUAAAGGAGAAGGAAACAGCCUACUUAAGAACCUAAAUGGUGAAACAAACUCAUAAACAGAGAAUUUUACCUGAAAAUGUAUAAGUGAAAUCUGCCUGG